AAGUCGUAACAAGGUUUCCGUAGGUGAACCUGCGGAAGGAUCAUUCACACACGUGAGUCAUGUUGGCUGUGCGGUUUGCUGCAUGGCCGGCCUGCAACCCAAACCAAAUCCACCGAGCUACGUACAAACCCAAUAAAGUCCAGGACCUUCAUGGCAAAAUCCAGGCACUGCUAGAGAUUUGACUCGCAGAUGUUAAACGCCGGGAACCCGUCAUAGCAUGAAUCGGGGCAACCUGAGUAAUUGUUAUGGCCAAAGCAUACAAGACCCUCGGAUUCCAACCCCGUUGGUCGACCCACCUUCACUGGCUUUCUCUGGCAACAGGGACUGCCUUACAUUUUGUCGAAAACUCGCUGGCGAAAGCUGGCAUUACGUAACUAAAUACAACUCUUUGCAAUGGAUAUCUUGGUUCUC
rnacentral:misc_RNA from 1 species